GAGCUUCUGUAUAUGAAACAAGUUCCCUCCUGCCAUGGGGUAGUCCAAAGGUCAUGGAAACCACAACCCAUAUGACACAAGACAUCCAUUUUCUAUUCGUUGAUUUGGAGUGUCCUGGAUAGGCUCCUGCUACAUGAGUAUACCUCUCUCAGAACCCAGCACUUCUUUACCUGUCAGGCAUAAGUUGUGUAUCUCGGACCCACUGCUGUCCCAGGCUUCUGAAUGGUCCCUCCUGCACUGCGCUGGGUCAACAGCAUUACUCCUACUGCGCUUUGGAUUACAGAUGCAAACUGCCUGUGGGUACCAAUACUUCAAACAAAUGACAAUAGCCUUGGAAUUUCAUGGCCAUUAUAGAUGAGAAAUGAGGAGGGAAAUCAGAACAACUUGGUAUUCUUGAAG